rnacentral:rRNA from 1 species
UACGAAGGGGGCGAGCGUUGUUCGGAAUUACUGGGCGUAAAGGGUGUGUAGGCGGUUUUAUAAGAUAGUGGUGAAAUGCCGGAGCUUAACUUUGGAAUUGCCAUUAUGACUGUAGGGCUUGAAUGAUGUAGAGGAUAGCGGAAUACCCAGUGUAGAGGUGAAAUUCGUAGAUAUUGGGUAGAACACCGGAGGCGAAGGCGGCUAUCUGGGCAUGCAUUGACGCUGAGGCACGAAAGCAUGGGGAUCAAAC